rnacentral:rRNA from 1 species
AAAGUGAAUAGUGAAAUCUGGUGGCUCAACCAUACAGGCUAUUAUUCAAACUCACUGACUCGAGAAUGGUAGAGGUAACUGGAAUUUCUUGUGUAGGGGUGAAAUCCGUAGAUAUAAGAAGGAACACCAAUGGCGUAGGCAGGUUACUGGACCAUUUCUGACACUGAGGCACGAAAGCGUGGGGAGCGAACCGGAUUAGAUACCCGGGUAGUCCACGCCGUAAACGAUGGAUACUA